rnacentral:rRNA from 1 species
AGAGUUGAUCUGGCUCAGGAUGAACGCUAGCUACAGGCUUAACACAUGCAAGUCGAGGGGCAUCAUGGAGUUGCUUGCAAACUCUGAUGGCGACCGGCGCACGGGUGAGUAACGCGUAUCCAACCUUCCCUAUAGUAGAGGAUAGCCCGGCGAAAGUCGGAUUAAUACUCUAUGUUUUCCGUUGCAGACAUCUAAGAUGGAACAAAGGCUUGCCGCUAUAGGAUGGGGAUGCGUCUGAUUAGGUAGUCGGCGGGGUAACGGCCCACCGAGCCAUCGAUCAGUAGGGUUCUGAGAGGAACGGUCCCCCACAUUGGAACUGAGACACGGUCCAAACUCCUACGGGAGGCAGCAGUGAGGAAUAUUGGUCAAUGGGCGAGAGCCUGAACCAGCCAAGUAGCGUGCAGGACGACCGGCCCUAGUGGGUUAGUAAACUGUCUUUUAUGGCGGGGAAUAAAGUUCACUACGUGUAGUGUUUUGUAGGUACCGCAUGAAUAAGGACCGGCUAAUUCCGUGCCAGCCGCAGC